GUGAUAUCUAUAGCUUUUGAAUUAUUUCAUUGUGUAAUAUUGUAAAGAUAUUUUAAUUUUACUAUAUUUAGACUUUUUAGAAUUUAAUAGUGUAUUUUGGAGUAUUAAUUCAAGCUGAUUGUUUAUGAUAUAUGAUAAUUUCAUAAUCAUUUGUAUCUAAUCAAACGGCAGGUAGCCCAAAGAAAAAUUUAUUAUAUAUUCGUUGUACAUCCGCUCGGUACACGUUACACAACUUAGAAACGCUCUCCGUAACAUUUCUGACCAUUCUAAAAAAUGCAUUUUCUUAUUUGACUGGGUUAGUCAAAUAAGAUUUAUAUUUUGGCGGGAAGCCCUUCGAUUAUUUCCGUAAAUGUUCGGAUCUGAGUCACGUGAUAUGAUUUACUAAACGAAAAUAAUGGCGGACAAUACGAAAGGUGUGUCACGUAUACGAGAAAUGAAUUUUGAGAUUGGAAAAGGAAAAAGCGAAAAGUGGAAAGGAACUGUGAUUUAAUUCAAUCAAGGAUAUACUCCGGUAGUGAUUCAAAGCGAUGAAAAGAUCUGUAAAGGGUAAUUAAAACCAAAAGCGACCGUGAAGUUGUUGUCUGAUUGACAGGUGAGGUGAUCAUCGUUUUUGUUUGCAUUUAAUUUUUUCUUGGUCUUAGAUCUACUUAUAGAAAAAAUUCACCUACGAAUAUAUAAACACAGAUAUUGUGUUAUAGUUUUUUGGAUGGUUUUGACUUAUGAUAAAGAAAUUAAGCUUGCAGAUCCACUUCUGUGUAUCAAGUUUUCGUUCACUGUAAUUUUCGUACCAAUAAAUUGUUAACAGGUUAAAUAAAAGAUCGGCUGAGCCUAAUCCUUUACAAUUUUAUGGCGUAUGUUCAUUGUAACCAUUGUAAUAUCGUUUAAGAUGGCCAAUCACUAUCUUUUAAGAAUCAUUUAAGACACAAUAAAAUUAUAUUUUGAAUAACUUUUAUUUUCCAAUCACAUUAUUGUUUUUUACUGUAAGCUGUACUGUAUAGUAACUACAAUGCUGUGAAAUAGAUUAGCCACAUGUGUCUCAAAAAGGGUUAGAACUAUUGACUAGCAGAACAGGCAUUUCUUCAAAGUAUGUUCAACUAUCAAGGGUAGUCCUAUAAAUGUGACGUCCUUUGAUUUUGAGAUAUUUUUGCUUUUGGGCAACCUUGACCGACAUUUAAGCAAUAACAAGCCCGUAAGUCUGAUAUAUUGAUCUACUAUUCAGGGUUGUCGAAUCUUCAAAGAAAUAAAGUAGAAAAAAUAAAAUGUUGUCUGGAAAAUCGCACAAAAAUCAAUAUUUUUGUCUCAUUUGAAUCAUUUUUGCAGUAAAAUUUCAGCAUUUCACAAUUUGAAAAAUAAUCAUGGACAAUAACCAUAAUUGUGCUGGAAACGUUAGAUAAUUCUUAUUGACAACCCUUCUUCCUUAUAAGCAGUGCAGCAAUUCAUGUAUUGUAAUUGGUUUGAAUAGUCAAGAUUUUAGGCCAUGGUACUAGUAUGCUAUAUUUUCUGAAUUUUUCAAUUACAGAAAUAAGUCAAUUUCAUCAUCAUCAUGUGUUGCAAUACCACUACCAGGGACAUCAAAGAUGACCUGGACUUCAGUGCAUAUGUAGAGGAGAGUAGCACUAAAGAAAGCCAAUAAAAUCCUUUUGGAGUUGAAUUGAGACACAACCAUUCAUUUCUGGUUUAGUUAUAAAACUGCUACAGACUAUAAACUAUUCAUGAUGAUGGAAUACACCAAUGCCUGGUACAAUCAUGGCCCAUUAGAAACCAGAACAAACCAUGGCUGCAAAGGAAAUAUUAUUUAAUAAGAUGCACAUAGUCUGAAAGAUCUGGCUGGUGUUCUGAAUAAUAUGACAUAAUAUCUCAACUGCAGAAGUACAGCUGGCAUGGAGGGGUUUCACCAGCACAUCUUGAUGUAUUGUACCAAAAGAUUUGCUUACACACCACAUGUUUAUAGGAUGCACAAUCUUCUUGCAGCCAUAGAUUAUAAUAUACAUGGAAAUAGACCAUACAUCACCAACAAGGGGGAUCUGUUAGACUUCAUCGAGUCUGGAUGAAUUAAAGAAGAAGAAAAAGUAUCAUUAUACCAUUUUUCAUGAUGCUAUAACUCUGAGAAUUAGUGACAUGGAGGGGAUAUAUAAAAUAGAAAGUUAGAGGAAGAUGACCCCCACCGACUUGCAAAAUAUUUGGCCCAAGUUAGCCCGAAGCCUACCCGAGCCAUUCAUGAGGAACAUAAAUCAAGAUAUGAUUGACUUUUUAGCUCACCUGUCACAAAGUGACAGGUUGAGCUUUUGUUAUCGCUUUUCGUCCGUCCAUCGUCUGUCCGUCCGUAAACUUUUGCUUUAAAUGACAUCUCCUCAUAAACCACUGAGCCAAUUUCAUCCAAACUUCACAGGAAUGUUGCUUUGGUGGUCACCUUUAAAAAUUGUUCAAAGAAUUUAAUUCCAUGCAGAACUCUGGUUGCCAUGGCAAUCGAAAGAAAAAUCUUUAAAUAUCUUCUUUUAAACAACCCUAAGAGCUAGAGCUUAGAUAUUUGGCAAGAAAUAUCUUCUAGUGAGUGUCUACCAAGUUUGUUUAAAUAAAAGCCCUGGGGUCAAAAUUGGCCCCGCCCCAGGGGGUCAUUGAUUUUCCCUAUAUGCAUAUAGUAAAAACUUAAAAAAUCUUCUUUUAAAGAACCCAAAGAGCUAGAGCUAAGAUAUUUGGCAUUAAACAUCUUCUAGUGAGUGUCUACCGAGUUUGUUCAAAUAAAAGCCCUGGGGUCAAAAGGUCUGUUUUUAAUAUUUUGUCAGAAAAAUGACUACUUUUUAUACAAGUGCAAAAUAUUAUCCAAUCUAUUAAACUAUAAGUGCUGCUAUGAGCUUUAAUGUAGUAACAAAGUUAAAAGUAUUAUUCAAUUAUAUCUUUUGUACUAUGUCAUUCACUUAGGCUCAGCUUUUCUUUUCUUUUUUUUUUUGAAAAAAGAAAUAGAGGUUGCUGCCGUUGCCUUCUGCAAACUUGAACCUUGUUCAUAACUUUUAAAGUUCUUGGUGUAUUGUCUAACCUUGGCCUUCAUUCAUAAUUGACCUUGACCUUCAAGGUUAAAUGUCUAAAUUUUGGCUUUGCUUGUUAUUUGCUAUUAGUGGCUUUAACUUUAUUGCCCUUUGUUAAUUUUCAUAUUGCAUUUUUGUCUUGGCCAUUUCUCCUAAACUAUAUUGUUCACAAGGCAACACAUCCGACUCGCGGAGAUCUAGUUGUUAUUAGUCCAUGAAUUGUUUGUAGUCCAAUCUAGUUUAUUAGACCAAUGACAUAGGGGCAUUUUAUAUAAAAUCCUUGUUCAAUCAAACAAGGCAAGCCUUAAAAUUAUCUUUGUAUUUACUCCCUCAUCCCAUUCCAGUUCAGAUAGGUUAGGUGGGCUGAUAAAAUAUUUAUUUUUGUGCCCCCAAUUUAGUGGCGGACAUUUAGAUUUACCCUUGUCCGUCCGUCCGUAUUUCACCUAGAGUCAUGAAACUUUACUGUAAUGUUGAUCAGCAAGUGUAGUUGUUCACCUUGGUAUUUUCAUCUGGAUAUUUUUAGUAUUUUCAGAGUUACUGCCAUUGAAUUUUUGCAAUUUUCAACUUGUGUCACAUGUUACUCAAGCAGUAUUUGACCUAGAGCAAUGAAACUUUACAGGAAUGUUGAACAUUAUGUGUAGUUGUGCACCUGGGUAUUUUCGUCUGGAUUAAGUAUUUUGAGAGUUAUGGCCCUUGACUUAGUAAAAUUUUGCAAUUUUCAACUUGUGUCGCAUGUAACUCAAAAAGUAUUUGACUUACAGUCAUGAAACUUUACAGGAAUGUUGAUCAGCAUGUGUAGUUGCGCAUCUGGGUAUUUUCGUCUGGAAUUAUUUAGGAUUUUUAGAGUUAUUGCCCUUGACUUGGUAAAAUUUUGCAGUUUUCAACUUGUGUCACAUGUAACUCAAAAAGGAUUUGACAUAGAGUCAUUAAACCUUAUGGGAAGGUUGCUCAGCAUAUUUAGUUUUGCACCUGGGGUUUGGCUUGUGGAUUUAUCCAUUUCAAUCAACAAAUAUCCCAACAUUUGUAUAUUUACAAUUAAAAAAUCACGAGACAGUUAAAAAGAUGUCAUUCUCAUUGACACUCUGAUUUCAUGUUAGUAAACAAAUCCUGGACAAUAAGAUAUUUUAGGUAGCUGUGCUAUUUGUAGGUAGGUCGCGGGAGUGGGGAACAAACAAUAUUUUACAUUCAGGGGUAAGCCUAAGUUUUAAGGCUUGGUAGGAACAUUGCCCUUCCCCAGAUAAUGGCACCAACUGAUUUUGAGGUAAUUAGAUUUAAAGCUCAAGAUGGCAUAAAGUUUAACUUCCUUUAAAUAUGUGUAACAUUGUAAGGUAUAGUUUAUGUAACUCAGAAGGAAAAAUUCUGAUUGCCAUUAGUUUUAAUAUUGGUCCAUUUGAUUAUAAGUUCAAGGUCUCAGUGACAUGUAAACUCAUUGUCCCAAGGUUUUGAACAUUUCCAGGGACAUUGCUUAGAUUAGUAAUUAAGCAUUAGUUUGGAUUUAAUAAGGUCUAAGGUCACAAUGGCUUAAGCAUAAUACCCUUCAUCACCAGAAACCCAUAAGGGGUUAACUCAAGUUCAUACAAUUUGGUUGGAAUUAAGAUAUUAUUUAUUUCCUUCUACAAUAUUGGCCAUCUUCACACUUUCUCUUCCUGUUAAGACAGCAUGGAUUGAAUAAAAAAUAAAACUAUAACUGUAAAGAAGUCACUGUUGUACAAUUUUAAGAGUAAGAAAAAAAGAUAUGCUGUUCAUUUGAAAAUAUUUUAUUGUUGUUUUACUGCCAAUGUUCAAAUACAUGUUUCAAUUUAUCUGUGUUUUUGUUAUUUUAACAACAUUCCAAAAUGUGUCCUGAAACGUGCUAAGAGAAGUGGAGUGUAAAUUAACAUUGAAAGGUAUUUGUAAAACAUUGUUACAAUCUGUGAUCUUAUUUGAAUUUUAAAAAAGUACAUUUGACAUCAGAAAAUAGAGAAAUAAAGAAUUCCUGCAGAAAGCCCAAAAUGACAAAAUUGAAACUGUUGCAGGCUCUAUUUGGUGAGCCUGUUGGAAGGUGCAAGUUACCUUCCAUGCCCCCCUAGCACCAGCUUUAGCAGAAUUCAACAUUUGAACAUAAAGUGGUGAAAUUUAUGGUUUAAUGCCAUACCGGUGUACAUAAUCCAGAGAUUAGGAUUUAAUUCUUGGCAAUCUUAUUUUCAGUGGAAUGCAACUGUUCAUUGUUAACAGAAUAAUAUUUACACAGGUUGCACUGUGUUUGUAUUGGAAUGAAAUUCUCAUUAGUACAUUAUUCUCCAUAAUGUGCACUUUUACAAAAGGCUAACAUUAAAAUCAGGUCUUGAGUGAUCAUUUUCAAAAUUAUAGGCAUCAGAACUUUAACUUGGUCCUUUUUCCAUUCUUGUUUGCUUAUAAAUUGAAGUAUAAUUAUACAUUAUCAUAUAUCAAACGGUUGAGUCUGUAGAUGUUAAAUAUGUAUUGGCUUUGCAUGCAGUUGACUGGUUAUUUAAUCUGGUAACACCCUAUACAGGUCAUUACACCAGAUUGUCAAAUUAUAUUUCUUUUCAUUAUAAUUUCCUAACACAGACACUUGGGUUUGGAGCUCAAAACGCCUUUAAAAUAAAUAAAAAAAAAAACAAACUAAAUAUAAGCCGUUUUGAAAAAAAAUCAUAUUUCAACAUCUAUAAUAUAAUACAGAUUGAGCACCAAAGCCCAAGUGUCUGUGUUUCAUAAUAUUUACAUGACGCACACUACUGUAUGCCAUUUUACUACGAUGGAAGCUUGGCAAUAGGUACGUAUUAUUUCUGGUACGAACCGAUCAUAAAGAACGGCUAAUUUACCGAUUUCAAAUAACCACAGCAACCGUACGACAUAGACAUUAUGACCAAUUACGCUCCAUCUUCUUGUUUACUGUAGAUCUAGUGAGAGUCUCAGACUUUGUUCUUUUUCCGAUUGUUUCGUAACGCGUUACGAGGAUAUAAGCUACAUUCCUUAGCUAAUAAAU